AACAAGGUCUCCGUUGGUGAACCAGCGGAGGGAUCAU
rnacentral:rRNA from 1 species